GCUAGAGCAGAAUUAUUUGCUAAAUAUAAUGAAGAUUCAAGCUUACAUGCAAAGAAGAAACAUAUGCUGCCAUGAAUUUAAACCAUCACCACGGACGCUUUCUCUCUUUACUGCUGGAAUCUAUUCAGCGCCACCUGAGAAGGGUGGGGAAGAGAGCACACAUAUCUAAAAUAAAACAGCCCUGAGAUUGUAUAUAGUUCUGUUCAAAGCUGUAAUCAAAAUGAGGCUGCGCAGUUAGACCAUCUAAGAAGAAAAUUUGAAAAGUUCUGGAAAAAGCGGGACAAGCGUUCAAGUUUACCCAAACAAACCGCAGAUCUGGAGAGAAAAGCAUCAGAGAGAAGUGCUGAGAAGAGAAAAUGUAUCGGAAACGUAAGGAAAAUGGUAAAAUUAAGACUACUCUGGACCUCACAAGUAGACAGCAUGAGAGAAAAAUAAUUAAAUGGAGGAAAAAAACACAAGAGCAAGCACUUCUAGAUCUAACACCAGCAUCUUAAGUGAAUGAGCUGGGGGAAAACGUGAUUGGUACAAAGCAUAAAUUGAGUUGCUGCUAUUCAAGUUCUUCACAUGAAAUUAUUCUCGGAAAAAAAGUUCUGUGGUUGAAUGUCAGGACCAAAGUUUAUUUAGCUAAACUAAACAAAU